GACCCCGGUCAUAGAGGCCGGACCAGCUAUAACAAUAAAAUUAUUUAUUAAUUUUUUCCAAUUAGAUGUUAUUUUAAUAGAGAAUAGCCAGGAAAUAUUUAUAGGAUUCUGCUAUAGAAGGUUAUCCGACGCGUCCGAAGAGAGGGCAGAUAAUCUAUACUAUAAGAACUAGCUUCGUAUAUCACUCGUGAA